GGUAUUUUGACCGUGCAAAGGUAGCAUAAUCAUUAGUUUUUUAAUUGAAAGCUGGAAUGAAAGGUUGGAUGAGAAAUAAGCUGUCUCUAUUUAAUUUUAUUAGAAUUUUAUUUUUAAGUUAAAAAGCUUAAAUUUAAGUAGAAGACGAGAAGACCCUAUAGAGUUUUAUUUAUUUUUUAAAUAAAAUUAAUAGUAUUAAUUAUUUUUAUUUAAAAGGUGAAUUUAGUUGGGGUGAUUGAAAAAUUUAAUUAACUUUUUUUUGUGUAGUUACAUUGAUAUAUGAAUAAUUGAUCCUUAUUUUAAGAUUAAAAGAUAAAAUUACCUUAGGGAUAACAGCGUAAUUUUUUUUGAGAGUUCUAAUCGAAAGAAAAGAUUGCGACCUCGAUGUUGGAUUAAAAUAAAAUUUUGGUGUAGAAGCUAAAA
rnacentral:rRNA from 1 species